ensembl:snoRNA
GCCGAGACUAGAGUCACAUCCCGACACAUCUUGUCCUGGUGUGCUAGAGUUCUCGGAGAGAAUCUGCUGCUCUUGAUUCACUGGCGGGGGCUUGUAGUGCACCCGUUAGUGCCCAGAUCAGAGACAUGC